AGGGGCGAGGGAGCUGAACAGGGGAGGUGUGGGGAGAGCGGUGCGCCUGGAGGGGAGCCCUCUCCCCAUACCUCACCCUGUGCAUCUCUUCCAUCUGACUGUUUCUGGGCUGUAUCUUUCUGUAAUAAACAGGCAAUCUAGUGAGUAAACUGUUCUGAGUUCUGCAAGCUGGUCUAGCAGAUUAAUCCGACCCGAGGAGGGGCUACGGGGGGCCUCCAGUCUGAACUAGUGCUGAGGUCUGGGCUGUAGCCUCUGCUUUCCUGCUUACUCUCUAUUCGGCGGGUUGGGCCUGUAGAAUGACACACAUUUUUUGCUAUAAAAUGUAAAUCGGGUGGGAAAGAGUAAAAUUUUUCAGUCUCCUGUAGUUUUGCAGAAUUCAAAAUUUAAAUGUUUUACUCCCUCAUUUUCUUUCAGCAUACAGUGUUUCGAGCUCAAAUCUGCUGAACACGUGAAGAGGAUGACAUUUGCAUGAAGUCUGUUCAAUUAUAACCAUGAUCUGUGCUUUUAAGUAUCAUGGGUAAUUUUCAGGCUGCGUCUUUCGCUGUUGGUUCAAACCAUGAGGACCAGGCCCAUGUCUUCCGAUGUCUCCUGAAUCCAUUUGGAUGUCCUCAAGUGUGCUGUGUCCCAACCUGCGUCUUCCUAGUGAAUUAAAUCGCCUUCAUGAUCCCGUUUCUGCCUGUCAGUUUCCGAGGCUGAUGAAAUGAUACGCGACAGGCUGCGACUCCACUUCCCUUUAGUUGAUCUGCUGUUCAAUGGUUUGUGUCUACAGAAAAAUGGGCUAUGUUAAUGGAUUGUGCAUCUAGAGAAUUAAGGAAUUCCAAUUUCUUUUUUCUUUUCUUUUUUUUUUUUUGAGGAGAAAGCAUUUGGGAGUAGGUUGUUGAAAAUCAAGAAUUCACUAAAUUUCGGAUUAUUGAGUAUAGCACUAUUAAAUGAAAGACUCAUGAUGAAUACUGGAUAGCUUUGUUGCUAGUGAAUGCACUGAUUAGAACCUUACAAACAAAUUCCAAAAUGUAUUAGCCAAUAUACUGUAGUUCAGUAUAUACUAUACAAUUUCAAUAUAUACUACAUUGAACUAUAGUUCAAUUUUUUAAAAUUUGUAUUUACAUACUUUGUAAUAAAA
rnacentral:lncRNA from 1 species